ensembl:lncRNA
CCAGAUACUAAGUGACAAGGGGCCGGGGCGGGAGCGGGGGGGGGGGGGAGCCCUGCGGGGGCGUGCAAGAGGGGUGCAAGUCUGGCUGGAGACAGCACUAUUUAUAUACUCCGGAGCUCCAGGACAAAGCGAGCAGAUCGGAGUCCCCCCGCCCCAGAGCCUCCCUGGCCCCUCCCCAGCGGCUUUGAUUUCAUUACCCCCCCCUCCCCGGGGGCGGGCUGGCAGGUGCGGGGGUGGGAGCCAUCUCUGAGCCAAAGGUCCGGCUGCUGACGUCGGAGCGCCCGCUCCUGUCAAUGAACGGCAGCGGCAGCCUGGGGACUUGUGUGGCAACGAGGCUACAGACGUCAUCGCCUCCUGUUGGACGCGGGGGGUGUCCGAGCUGCAGCUCCGGCUUAAAGGAAAACUCUCCAAGUUCCAGGCAGCCAGGGAGAGUCGUUCCUGAGAGCACAGGCACCCCCGAAUGCCCAGUGUGCGCGGCGCACAGCCUGGCACACGCGCGUACACACGCACACACGCGCGCGCUCACACUCGCACUCAUGUUCUCCCUAGAUGUGCGGGUCCAAACUUGCGGCCGCAGAGAGGAUGAGCUGAAAUGGACCGGUCUUCGUUGGUGCCUAGAGUGCUCCACGCGGCUUCCCUGGAGACCCCCCCGGGGGGGGGGUAGGGAAAGAAGAAUACCACACUCGGUUUAGAGUUGUCUCCCCCUUUCCUGAGAAGAUCUGCGCGAAAUCCAGGGUGCCCGGAGCCUUUGGAAUAUGCCUGCUGAGCGGAGCAGAAGCGAGCGUUCUUGGAGAGGUCCCGAACUUGGGCCACCGGCCUCGCUUGGCAACUUGCUUUGCGCAGUUCUCAAUGGAGCCCUGGACCCACAGUGUUCCUGGCCGGUUGGCUUAUUUUUUCCCUCCGUUCCCCUCUCUCUUUUUUAAACAUACCAACUUGAAACGAAGCGGAGAGCAGAUCCGCACUUCAGCACACUUUGGCGGGGCUCACCCCUCGGAUGCCAGGAGCGGUCACAGUGAAGGGACCCUCAGAACAAGCUCCAGGGCUGAGAGACGAUCUGGAGAAGCCACCCCCUCCUCACUGUUCCGGAGCUGGACAGAACUCCAGGGCUGGAUGGGGGGGAGACCCACGUGGGAGUUUCAGCCACACAGAGCAGGGGGCAGAGGGAAGAGAUGCAGGAAGCUGUCAGUAAGAGAAACACACUCACAGGACUGCAGGAGGACGGGCCUCUGCCCACUAGCACUUUCUAGAGCGUGUGGGACCUCUCUCUCUCUCCGAGAUGUCAUGGGGGGCGGGGGACAAAACUUCAAGUUCCUGCUUUGGCCUCUUCCCAUUAACCCCGGGGUGCUUACUGGUCAGGCCCGCGGGCAGUCUUGGGCUUUGCUGUCCUUCUCAAGGGAGGUAUUUGCGAUACCUGGAGAGUCCACCGCACAGCUCCCUGGGGCUGAUUUCCACCCUUUGGGCUUCUGCCCCUGCCCUGGGAGCCUCAUGCAAGCCCAGAAAAUCAGUGCGUGGCCUUGUGGGCCAGCCUGCGCCAGCUCCCACCUGGAGCAAGGCGGUGGCCAGUUAUAAAUGACUUCUUGAUGUUGCUCCCAGACCUCUGCAAAGCAUCAGACCAUAGCUUCAGCUGAUUCUGCCCACAAGCCAGGAGCCCGUUUUCUAUGUCCUUUCCUAUGUGCCGGGAGCUGCAGUGGCCACGGCUAACUGGCCACCGCUGACAAGGUGAGUGACUUCAAACACCUGUUAUAACUUCAGAAAAUUUCACACCCAGCCCUCUCCCGCCAUCAACUCAAGACCUACUCACAGAGUAAUUCAAACCCUAGCAUCAUCCGGGCAUCGUCUCCCUGCCCUCCCUUCCUCUCUGCGGCACUGUCCUCGCAAGGGGGCCCGGGGACCGCGCGUCCUGCCAUAGUCAGGCUCCAGACACUGGCCGCGGAAUUCAGUUUCCCUCCAACGGAUGUGGCUCCUUCGACGGCUUCCAAAUUGGACAGAGCCCACGCUGAGACUUUUGUGUUCCAUCUUCACAACAUUCCAGUGAGCUGUGAAGACAAAGCUUUUUAUGGAGAUGGAGAAGCAGCUUUUCCCAGAACCCUAAUUCCCAGCAAGGAGGCUCUUGCCAUCCAAAGAAGCUAGAAACCUGGGAGAGUCCCCUUAAAGAGAUUCUCCGUGGAUCAGGAGCCAAAAUGAUAGCGUGAGUGGGGAAAAUUUGCAGUGGGAUUUUACUUUGAAAAAUUAAAGUAAAUCAUUAUAUUUUCUAUUCUAAAAAGUUAGGUGCUAGUUUCAAUUACAGUUUAAUUCUGACAGUUUUCCUUACUCUUGGCCAAUGACCUCCCCCUAUCAUUUAUUGCUGUAAUAGAAUAGAAUUCAUCACAGAGACUUGCCGGUCUUGUCCCCAACCUGCACAAUCCACGGCCCUAGAGGUCCCUCCGUCCGCUUCGGUUAAGACGGAGGACACCCGUUUGCCUUUCCCCUGGGCUCAGGACCCUGUCCCCUUUCUCUGUUCAAAGAUUUUGUCUCCCACCAGUUAUUCCCUGUACUUGACCAUUCCCUUCAGCAUAAAGCAUUGCUCAGGUGUUUUCCGGCUUUAAUAAAACAACUCUCCUAAGUCCCACAGUCACCUGCUGUGACUGUUGCUGGCGUCUCUGCUCCCCUCGGCGGCGGCAGACAUUCCCGUUCCCACAUCCUCAGGCUCCCUGCACAGCCCUUCCGUCAGCCUUCCGUCUCUGCACCCCACAAAACCAUCCUCGUGGAACUCUGUCUCUGUCUCCCAAAUCCAGGGGUCAUCGCUUCACGCUCCCUGUGCCUCCUUGACAACAUUUCAGCAGAGCUGCCCACUUUCUCCUCUCUGAGGGGGCUCGUCUCCUGACUCCUCUGAUACCUCACCUCCUGGCUCCUUCCCUUUCCUCGUGUUCUCAGACCUCUGUGUCUGCUCGCUGUUGGGGUAUCCAGGGCUCUAGCCAUACUUUCUCCCCAGGCGAUCUCAUCCAAGAUAAUGGUUUUAAAUAUUAUCUUUACAAAAGUGAUUUCCAAAGUUUGGCCUCCACCUUUCAUAUUUCCAAUGAGUACAAGACUAUGGUAACCAACGGUUUUCUGGACCUCUCCACGUGGAUGUCUC